rnacentral:rRNA from 1 species
AAGAGAUCGGGAUAACACCUGGAAACAGAUGCUAAUACCGGAUAACAACAGAUGAUGCCUAUCAACUGUUUAAAGAUGGGUUCUGCUAUCACUCUUGGAUGGACCUGCGGUGCAUUAGCUAGUUGGUAGGGUAACGGCCUACCAAGGCGAUGAUGCAUAGCCGAGUUGAGAGACUGAUCGGCCACAUUGGGACUGAGACACGGCCCAAACUCCUACGGGAGGCAGCAGCA